CGAAUAAAGGCCUCGAUUCGACGUCUUUCUUCUUGCCCGUUGGCGAAGCCUUCCUCUUCUCUUCUCGGCCUCGAACACCUCGGGAACCCUCGAAACCCUAGGAUCCAUGCAUGGGCCAGGGAACCCCGGCGGCAUGGGGGAGCAGGGCCUCCCCGGCGAUAAGAAGGACAGGAAGUUCGAGCGGCGGCCCCGCCGUCCCGCGUCGGCCGGAAGCAGUGCAAGCAGAAGGGUCCCGAGGACGCUGCUCGCCUCCCUGUCGUUACGCUCCUCUCCAAGUGCCGCCUCCGCCUCCUCAAGCUCGAGCGCGUCAAGAACUACCCCUUCAUGGAGGAGGAGUUCGUCGCCAACCAGGAGCGCCUCCGCCCCCAGGAGGAGAAGAACGAGGAGGACCGAUCCAAGGUCGACGACCUCCGGGGGUCGCCGAUGAACGUUGGGAAUCUAGAGGAGCUCAUUGAUGAGAGAUCCAUGCCAUUGUUUCCUCGUCGGUCGGGCCGGAGUACUACGUUAGCAUCCUGUCCUUUGUCGACAAGGAUCAGCUGGAACCGGGAUGUGCGAUCCUUAUGCAUACCAAGGUCUUAUCUGUUGUUGGGCUUGUUCAUGAUGAAGUUGAUCCUAUGGUUUCUGUUAUGAAAGUUGAAAAAGCUCCUUUGGAAUUGUAUGCUGAUAUUGGUGGCUUAGAUGCACAAAUUCAAGAAAUUUAAAGAAUCAGUUGAACUUCCUCUGACACAUCCAGAGCUGUAUGAAAAUAUUGGAAUUAGACCUCCCAAGGGAGUCAUAUUAUAUGGAGAGCCUGGAACUGGUAAAACUUUACUUGCCAAGGCAGUGGCUAACUCAACAUCAGCAACUUUCUUAUGCAUUGUUGGAAGUGAGCUGAUUCAGAAAUAUUUGGGUGAUGGUCCAAAACUUGUCAGAGAACUCUUAGAGUGGCAGGUGAAUUCUCUCCUUCCAUAGUAUUUAUUGAUGACAUAGAUGCAAUUGGCACCAAAAGAUAUGAUGCUCAUUCUGGUGGUGAGCAUGAGACACAGAGAACCAUGUUGGAGUUGCUUAACUGGUUUGAUGGUUUUGACUCAUGGGGGGAUGUUUAGGUCAUUCUUGUGACCAACAGAAUUGAAAUCCUUGAUCCAGCCUUGCUUCAGCUUGGUUGUAUUGAUAGGAAGAUUGAAUUUCCAUUGCCAGAUAUUAAAACAAGAUGAUGUAUUUUUCAGAUACAUACCUCUAGAAUGACACUGGCGGAUGAUGUCAAUCUUGAAGAGUUUGCAAUGACGAAAGAUGAGUUUUCUGGAGCUGAUAUAAAGGUGAUCUGUACUGAAGCUGGCUUGCUUGCUUUAAGAGAACGCAGGAUGAAGGUAACUCAUGCUGACUUCAAGAAGGCCAAGGAAAAGGUAAUGUUUAAGAAGCAGGAAGGUGUGCCAGAGGGACUUUACAUGUAACUGAUGGUCUUGCCUGUUGAAAAUUAAGGAAAGAACUCAAAACUAGAACUGGCAAUUCAGUAGCAUGAUUGCUUUGACUUCUGGAACACUUGAGGGAAUUGAUGGGAAUCAGAUGGAAUUGGUGAAAUGGAAUAGUGCACUGAUCCGGUAAACGUUGCUCAUACUACAUGAUGGUUAAGAGAUUGUCUUACGAGGGAACUGUGAUGACCCAUCAGAUAGUGUGCCCCUUUAACAUGGAAUUCAGUGAUUGGCUUUUCUUAAUGUUCCCUUUGUUCUCACUUGGGUUGCAGUUGUACUCUGAAAAUGAAGUUAAAGGGAGAAACCAGAAAGCCUCAAACUUCUAGUUGGACAGUCUGCAGAAGAUUUGCUGGACUCGAUUCAUCGUGGAAGUGUAUACACCACGCAUUCUGCUUAUUAAAGAUCAUUCGAUGGGUGAUUGGACAAGUCAGCAUAAAUAUGCAGGUUUGCAGAGCUUUCUGCUGACCACCGUGCUAUUGGAAGCCACUGUGCAUUCCUGAGUCCAUAAUAUUUGGUGGUGGUGGUGGUGGUGGUGUUAUGUCCACCCUCUGCAGGUAUGCACCACGCAUUCUUCUUAUUAAAUAUCUUUCGAUUGGUGAUUGGACAAGUCAGCAUAAAUAUGCAGGUUUGCAGAGCUUUCUGCUGACCACCGAGCUACAGGAAGCCACUGUGUGGGGCCCCCUUACACUAAAAGAGGAAAAUUCUAAAAACUAAAUUACUUAAGUAUCCCUCCAUAGGAGUGAGUACUUUUUGUUUUUAUUUUUUUGUUAGAAGUGGAUAUAUAUAUAUAUAUAUAUAUAUAUAUAUAUAUUGGAAUCAAUGUUGACAUGUGUUAAAUUUCUUAAUAUGCUAUAUCAAAAAUUAUAAGUUCGAAACUUUUUAUAAGUAAAUUAUGCACCUCAUAAAUGUUAUUAAAGGGGCCUUUUUUUUCUGAAAAAUAUCCAAUUUUCGUUUCUUUUUUUCUUUAUUUUUCACAUAAUCUCUCUUACAUGAGAAGAGGCAAAAAGAAAAAAAUAAUCUUUUUGCCUCGGGAGAUUUCAAAAUUAUCUGAAACGAAAAAGGAAAUAGCUUAUCAUUAGGGAUUUUAAUUCCUAAUUCCAAAUGCAUGUAACUAUCAAUAUCAUGUCUUGCCUUUGAUUGAAUUAUUGCCCUAUGCUUUAAUCUAAAAAUCAUUUUCCUUAUAUAUCGCUAUCUAUUUCAUACGGUACUCAUUUAUUGCCCUACCUGCUUUUUAAUCAUGUUUGCUGAAUGCUUAGUUCCUUUGGUUCUUCUAGCUCUAAACAAACGGCAUCUACUUUUGAUACAUUAACUCUUCUUAUUUUCAAUAUAAAAUAAGAGAUGCAAUAUUCAUAGUAUGAUCAGAUGCAUCCAAUUAAUGAGGAAAAAAACGCUUUUUUUGUAAUUAAAAGAUAUAGGGCAUAUGUCUCUUCUUGAGAAUGUACAAUUAUCUGCUUUUCUCAUUCUACCCAUAGUUUUCUUCCUUUUAUGCCCCUGUCGGUGUUCAUAUGUUGACUAACAUUGGAGACAUAUUGGUUGGUCAACAUCUUAUAAAAAUAUGAUUUGCUGUCAUAAACAAACAAACUAACAAAAAAGAAAAACUUGAAUCUGUAUUAUAGAUUCGUUCAUCCGCCAAUUAAUUUUGGGCACCUUUAGUUUUCUUCACACUUUAUUGUGGGUGUUGCUUAAUUACCCAUACAGUUAGAUGUCCUUAUCAUAAUCAUCUGUAUGUGAUAAAACUUGGAUCGAACAAAAAAAAAUAUAUAUAUUAUUUUUUAUUGUAAGAAUGAAAGAGAAAGAAACCACAUCACGGGGUUCAUAUGCUGUUUAGGAAUCACCCAAUUGAACGAAAAAUGUGCAUGUCAAUUAUUUGCAGGGUGCAUUUACGAUCACUAAUUUGUUCGAAGUAUCACUGCUAAGUCUCGUCUCGAUCCAUGGAACCUCCGCCAAUGUCGUCCUUUCCUACAGUAGGUGUUCCGAAGCGAAAGGUAACCACCAGACGCCGACAGGUCUUCUCCCUCUGCUGUUGGCUUUUCUCAGUGCCCAUCUGCAGACCUCUUCCUCAUCUUUCCCGGUCUAUAACUUGGGGUCGAGUCCACGGCAGAAGCAACAGCAGGAGAGGAGGAGAAAGAAGAAGAAUAGAAAAAGAGAGGAGGAGGAGGAGGAGGAAGAG